rnacentral:lncRNA from 1 species
CUCAGGAAGUCAAAACCACUCUCUAAGACUCCUCGCAGUCUGGCCGCCUCCGUAGAUAGGUCUGAGACCUCUGUGAUGUCCUCAUGCGGCUGUGGAUGGGCUAGAGCUAACACUUGCCCCUGCAAGUCAAGUACUCUACCAGUCAGUCUCAAUAUACGACCCUCAAGCUGCUCAAUGUGUACUGACUGAUCAGUAAUCAUC